AUUGAACGCUGGCGGCAUGCUUUACACAUGCAAGUCGAACGGCAGCGCGGGCUUCGGCCUGGCGGCGAGUGGCGAACGGGUGAGUAAUGCAUCGGAACGUGCCCAGUAGUGGGGGAUAGCCCGGCGAAAGCCGGAUUAAUACCGCAUACGACCUGAGGGUGAAAGCGGGGGACCGAAAGGCCUCGCGCUAUUGGAGCGGCCGAUGUCGGAUUAGCUAGUUGGUGGGGUAAAGGCUUACCAAGGCGACGAUCCGUAGCUGGUCUGAGAGGACGACCAGCCACACUGGGACUGAGACACGGCCCAGACUCCUACGGGAGGCAGCAGUGGGGAAUUUUGGACAAUGGGGGCAACCCUGAUCCAGCCAUGCCGCGUGCGGGAAGAAGGCCUUCGGGUUGUAAACCGCUUUUGUUCGGGAAGAAAUCCUCUGGGCUAAUACCCCGGGGGUAUGACGGUACCGGAAGAAUAAGCACCGGCUAACUACGUG
rnacentral:rRNA from 1 species